ensembl:lncRNA
GGAUUUCUGCUUCACUCAGCAAGUGGUGUUGGCAAUCUGCGUGAACAUCUAUAAUUACAAGACAAAGUGAAAUGUUCUCAUGCAGAAUAGCUAGCACACAAUGCAGAGGUUAGCAAUGGAAAUAUUUCAGGUCUAUGUUUUGGCAUCUACUGACUUCUUCUGGCUAGAAAGAAAAAUGCUGAAAAAACGAAGUGGAGACCAGAGAAGACACAGGAAAGGUAGUAACUUUACAAUGUCCUAUGAUAUUGAAGGAGGGGGCGUGUAGGAGUGAAGGACAGAUACCAGGGGACAUGCAGCUGCAGAUAAUCACGUAGUUCCUCAGUUUGACUUUAAAGAAUGUAUAAGAACUGCUAAUACAGCAGAGGGUUGCUUCUUCUCUUUGAGGAAAUAUGAAGUGAGAGGUGUCUUUUUUUCUGAAAUACUUUUAUUUUUCUAUUUUAAAAAAUUACUGAAAAUUCUGUAAUAUAUAUUUUUUAAGUAUCAUAGCUUAAUAUUCAGUGGAAAUAUACUGCAAAUGCAGUACCACAAACAGUAUGAAGAAGGGGCAGUAUAAAAUGGUUAUGUCUUCAGAUGCUGCAGAUAUGAGAAUUGUUUCCCUGAGAAAUGUUCAACUUGAAGGAAAGACAUAGCAGCUAAUUCACUGAAGUGCCUUUUCUGCUGCAAAAACUAUUAAUCAAACAGCUAUAUGGUUCUUUACAGUCCCGUUCUUUCCUCUUCAUGGUACAGCUGUGUGGCUGCCUCAGUUGGCACGAAGGUUUUGGGUGAGUUGUAUGGGAGCUCCCUAGGCAGCAGGUUGGUCAUACUACAAGCAUUGGCUUUUGGGGAAAAUGGGCUCCCUCUGGUGAGUGGUUGAGUGCUUGUCAACUGAACCACCAGGGUGUUUGGGAUUGUCCUGGUUUGGAUCAUAUUUUUACAUGCAUUGUCACAGCACUUGAACACCCACAUAUAAAGUGUCACUGGCAAGUGCCAGCAGUUGUCUUUAUUUUACUAAGUGGACAUUUUGCACUAGUAAGCCUUGCACUGCUUUGCUAGCCAGAAGGCUGACCACAGCCAAUAGAUCUCUAUAAAAACUUAGGUACUGCAAGUAUUUAAGGUAAUUUUGUAUUGCUUCAGUCCUAACUCUAGCCUUUGUCAGUGUCAUUGGUUAAAAUUUCUUGGGCAUUUUUCAGUUUAUUCUGUGCUGAGGGAUUUAUUGUCUUUACGUUCUUAGGCUGCUAGUCUGAACUGAAAGACACAAAUAGACUUUGCUUUUGUAAAAGGUGCACGUACACACAUCUAAUGUUGAAAAUUAAAGCUCCAUAGUCAUCCUCCUUGUCUCGUUAAUUCAAAUCUCUGCUGGCUUUGAUUGCUGCAGGAUGUCAAAAUGGUGCAGUGAGGUACCGUAUAAACCAUCUCCUCAAGAUUUGAUCUGAAUCUUAACACUAUAAAAGGUUGUUGAUAAUGAAAUUUAUCAUUGAAGCAAGGUUUGUAAACGGAACAUUCUCCCAGCAUUUACAUCCACAGCCUGCUUAAACAGGCAUUCUGUCUUAAUGGAACUGGGAAGCUGGUGGGAGCUGGGGAGAAAUUGUCUUAGAUCUUGCAGGUUGUUUGCAGUAGAAGUGAGAAUCUCUAGUUCUUGAUCUAGCUCCAGAGAGGGUUUAUUGAAAUUCCCGCUUUCUUUUUAAAGUUUUCAGUUCUCCGUGAUAACCGAUCUCUCAUCCUUUCAGUAAAUAGCCUUCAAAGGGUGUUGUGGAGAUAAAACAGCCACGUGAAGGGGACAAAAGAGGAGGAAAGGGGACAUUCGGUCCCUAGGUUUUAUUCAAACAGAAACAGACCACGCAAAUAAAAUAGUUGUGAAUGCUGACGUAUGACUAGAUAAUUCUAAACGUAUCUCAAGACCAUGUAAUAAUGACUGGAUCAAAAACCCACCUGAAUUACUCAGCUAAGUUAAGCCUUUUUUUCCAGUGUAGUUGCUAGCCAUGGCAGCUGUGAUCCAAUGAGGGGUUGAGUUCUGUUCUCUCUCAUGGCUCGGUGUAAGUCAGAGAUGUUCGGAACACCAGACAGUAACGCAUUUUAGGCAGAGAAACAUAAUUGUGCCCAGUAAAGCAAGUAGAUGAAACUUGGAGCACUGAAACCACGACACAGUUGGCAAAUAGUAAUCAUUAAAAAGACGAUCGCAUUGACUGGUUUGGAUCUGGAAGGAGGGCAGCUUUUUCCUAUGGGUCUGCAGCUUUCAAUGAUGCUUCUGUGAAAUUGCAAGUGGAAUAUUAAUCAAUGAGCUAAAAGUAAGUUUAUCUAUUAAUAAUAAUCAGGAAAGAUAAACAUCCUAAAUCUCAACACUUGCAGCUACCAGUAACCCAAACCUUCCGUCUGCCUGAUUUAAUUUCUUUUCAUAGUUUAAUUAUGAAUGUAAAUGUCAGACGUCAGGAGCUGUGGUGCACUUAAUUACUGAAUGUAAUUGCAAAGAAGAAAAGAGAAAAUCGGGUCCAUUUUCACUGGGCAAAUUUUAAGAUUACAACCUUAAACAAUUUAAUCUUUUGUUUUGCAAAAACAGCAUCAAAUUUUAUACUUGGAUGUCUUGGGUGUAAAGAAUGCCUUCCUUGGUCAUGUUAGAAGAGAUAUUCUUAAUAGUACCAAAGGAAAGAAAAGUGAGAGAUUCCUUGUUUGCUUGUGUUUUGUUUCGUUUUAAAUAAAUAUAUCACUGCCAGCCUUGUUAG